rnacentral:tRNA from 1 species
UCCCAUAUGAUCUAGUGGUUAUCAUUUGGCGCUUUCAACGCCAAGGCCUGGGUUCAAUUCCAGGUGUGGGAA